UACGAAGGGGGCGAGCGUUGUUCGGAUUUACUGGGCGUAAAGGGCGCGCAGGCGGUCUUGAAAGUCAGGCGUGAAAGCCCCGGGCUUAACCUGGGAAUUGCGCUUGAUACUCUGAGACUGGAGUACGGGAGAGGAGAGUGGAAUUCCCAGUGUAGAGGUGAAAUUCGUAGAUAUUGGGAGGAACACCAGUGGCGAAGGCGGCUACCUGGACCAGCACUGACACUGAAGCACGAAAGCGUGGGGAGCAAACAGG
rnacentral:rRNA from 1 species